rnacentral:rRNA from 1 species
CAGUCGCCGCGGGAAUACGGAGGGUGCAAGCGUUAAUCGGAAUUACUGGGCGUAAAGCGCACGCAGGCGGUCUGUCAAGUCAGAUGUGAAAUCCCCGGGCUUAACCUGGGAACUGCAUUUGAAACUGGCAGACUGGAGUCUUGUAGAGGGGGGUAGAAUUCCAGGUGUAGCGGUGAAAUGCGUAGAGAUCUGGAGGAAUACCGGUGGCGAAGGCGACCCCCUGGACAAAGACUGACGCUCAGGUGCGAAAGCGUGGGGAGCAAACAGGAUUAGAUACCCGGGUAGUCCCUGUCUCUUAUAC